rnacentral:lncRNA from 1 species
GCUGCCGCCCCUGGCCUGCCAGGACCCAGAGGGAGCGGAGCACGCGCCUUUGGGAAUCUUCGGUGCGCCAAGUCUGUUCGCCGCCGGGGUCUAUCACCCCCGCCCCUCGCCUCUGCCCGUGAGCGUGUGAGUUGUAGCGUACCCUGGGGUCUGUUCUGGAGGAGGCCUGAGAGCGGGGUUGCCUGGGGCGUGGGUCUCUCAUCCCUCUCGUCCUGGUGAAGAAGAAGAGUAUACCCAGCGGAAUGGCCUGUCCAGAAGACAGCCAAAUACAUCCUUCAAACAGACUUCACUGCAGGAGACAGAGUGGAUUCAUCCUGUAUUCUCCAUGUAGACUUCCAUCUUCAUGAGUACUCCAAGAAGAUGGUUCAGUUGACUAUUGCAAAGUCUCAGGUAUGUCUUUAUCAGCAGCAUGAAAAUGGACUAAUAGUACCAGUAGAGUGGGGCAUUGCUGAAAAGAUACCCGAAAAUGUGGAAGCAACUUUGGAACUGGGUGUUGAAAUAAUCUGGAGGGCUCAGAAGAAGAUAGGAAAAUGUAGGAAAGUUUGGAACCUCCUAGAGACUGUGAAUGGCAUUGACAAAAAUACUGAUAGUGAUAUGAACAAUAAGGUCCAGGC